rnacentral:rRNA from 1 species
AACUUCGGUUCACCGAGAAAUGGGAGUGGCGAACGGGUGAGUAACACGUGGGUAACCUACCCAUCAGCGGGGGAUAACACUUGGAAACAGGUGCUAAUACCGCAUAAUUCUUUUCUUCGCCUGGAGGAAAGAUGAAAGACGCUUUUGCGUCACUGAUGGAUGGACCCGCGCUGCAUUAGCUAGUUGGUGGGGUAACGGCUCACCAAGGCCACGACGCAUAGCCGACCUGAGAGGGUGAUCGGCCACACUGGGACUGAGACACGGCCCAGACUCCUACGGGAGGCAGCAGUAGGGAAUCUUCGGCAAUGGACGGAAGUCUGACCGAGCAACGCCGCGUGAGUGAAGAAGGUUUUCGGAUCGUAAAACUCUGUUGUUAGAGAAGAACAAGGAUGAGAGUAGAAUGUUCAUCCCUUGACGGUAUCUAACCAGAAAGCCACGGCUAACUACGUGCCAGCAGCCGCGGUAAUACGUAGGUGGCAAGCGUUGUCCGGAUUUAUUGGGCGUAAAGCGAGCGCAGGCGGUUUCUUAAGUCUGAUGUGAAAGCCCCCGGCUUAACCGGGGAGGGUCAUUGGAAACUGGGAGACUUGAGUGCAGAAGAGGAGAGUGGAAUUCCAUGUGUAGCGGUGAAAUGCGUAGAUAUAUGGAGGAACACCAGUGGCGAAGGCGACUCUCUGGUCUGUAACUGACGCUGAGGCUCGAA